rnacentral:lncRNA from 1 species
ACACUCGCACGCACACGCUCCUCCGGCCCCGCCAUGUUCCGGGAGGCGGCGGCAGCCCAGCCCCGCCAGCCGCGGUGAGGGGCGCCCGCGACGAGGCCAGCUCGCGGCCCUCCGCCCGGCCCCCGCCCCGCCCCGCGCAGCGCCCCCGCCCAGUUGGCGGCUCCCACCUGCGCCGCGGCUCCUCGCGACGCCGGGAGGGGCGGCGGCGGGCGGGGCCCCGGCGGACCCGCGCCGGGGGGCACUAACGGCCUGUCACUGUCAGGCGAGCUACGGCUCGGGCCAGGCUGGGCGGGCGGCGCGUCGGGACCGGGGGGGGCGGGCAGGGCGCGUCCCCUACCUUGCUCUGGGGAGGGGGAACGGGAGCAGCGCAGAACUGAGGGGAUCUCCUCCCUGGCGCCGGGGACAAGCUCGAAACCGCGCCCCUCCUUCCUCCUUUCCUGUCGCCACGCCCCCCUCACCCGUACGGACCCGAGGCAAGGCCGGCGCAGGAGGCUUCACCCCCGGAACGAGUGCUUCGGCGUAGCCGUCGCUGUCGUUGUCUUCGUCGCCGCUGCAGCCGCCUGUAAAGCCGCCGGAGCCGGGCUUGAAAACAUCUCCGGUCUCGGUCCGUCUCUCACCACAGCCUCCUCGCUCCCAGGACAGCGUCGCCCCGCGAUUGGCUGCGACGCGAGCACGUGACACCCGCGGACACGUGACUACCGCGGGCACGGGACGGGCGGCGUGACCGCCCCGCCCCCCGGCGCCCGCCCCUCCUGCUGCUCAGCCAGGCUCCGCGAGCCGCAGGGCGGGGAAGCGGGACGUACCAAGCGGCAGGCGGCGGAGGGGUGCGGGCCGGAACUCCGCCCUUCGUGCUGGUCGGUCUCCACGCCCCACUCGGACUAGUGUCACCGCCUCCCCGCCGCAGACACUAUCCGACAAAGGAGGGGGAAUCAAAGGCUGGGCGAAGAGGCAGGGCAGGCGCCGGUGACGCUGCUGGGCAAGCGGGCUCUGCAGUAGCAUUUGUGGCGACCGUGGCAGUGGCUGUGACUGGAAGCUUCUGGAAAUGGCGGCGAUGAGGACCCCCACAUAGGGUAUUCACCUGUUAUUUUUACACGGGGUGGGUGGACGAGCGUGAUCCAACUCAGGCAAAAUGACGCUGCGACCGCAGCCCGAGGACUAGGCGAAGUUCCCCCGCUAAGCCGGCGGCGGCCGUCUGGCCCCGCACCAGGCCGGAGAAGCUGCACCUACGCCCAGAGCCCGCGGCCCCCCGCCUCAGGUGGGGCCCUGGGCCCCGCCCCGAAAGCGCGGUAGCGUGCACCUGCCCUGGCACCAGGGGGUCUAGAGCGCGUCCCCUCCCAGCCACGCCUUCCAGUGGCCUUUUUAAAGAGGAAUUCAGUGCACCCUCCCACACGUAGUGUUGGGGAUUUGAGAGGGAGCUGCUCAGGUACUAGGAAGGGUGCCGGAGGAAAAUUGACCGUCGCAGCGUGGCAGCAGCGUGUACUCACUCCCUUCUGGGCGCGUUAUUUACGUAGAGGUUAAUCUGCAACAACAGCGUCUGUUUAUGACUUAGUGCAUGCAGUUACAAGUUUAUGUUACACUGUCCUUUAACGUCUUGAUGAACUGAGGGUUCAGGUGUGAUCACAGCAGAUGAAGUGACAUUCAGACCUGACAGGGACGGCGAGGUCCCAUCAAAUUACUAUGUAAAGCAUAAACCUGCAUUAAAGAUCAGGAGUUUUUCCUUUCCUGGGUUCCUGAUUUCUCCCACCUACAAAUCUUUAGGGUCAACAAGACUAGAAAAAGAGCACCUUAUGGCUAGAGGUGGAAUAGUGUUACAUUUAACUUGGUUAUUUAUGAUGUGAAAUACAAAGAAAAAAACAGUCGCCUAUGAGAAAGUCAGGAGAGCUCCAGGGUAGGACAUUUUCAUUGUUACUUUUUUGUGCCACUUGGAAAAUUAACUGUUGUUUACCUUCUCUCAAUUAAAAAAAAAAUCUUAAAGACAUACUUAAAAAUAAUCGUUAUAGCCGAGCGCAGUGGCUCACGCCUGUAAUCCCAGCAAUUUGGGAGGCUCAGGCGGGCAGAUGGCUUGAGCCCAGGAGUUUGAGACCAGCCAGGCAACAUAGUAAGACCCUGUCUCUAAAAAAAUAUAUGAAAAUUAACCAGGCUGGUGGCGCCUGCCUGUGCUCCCAGCUGCUCAGGAGGCUGAGGCCAGGGUAUUGCAGUGAACCAAGAUCACACCACUGCACUCCAGCCUGGGGACACAGCCUGUCUCAAAAAAAAAAAGCAUAAUUACUAGUGAAUAGUCUGUUUCAAGUACAGGUGACUUUGAGAAAUCGAGGAUUAGAUUAAUAUAAAUUAUUCAUGCAUUAAAGCUGGCUAAUGCAAAACUAAUGUACUACAGCUAAUUUCUUAAAUACACAAAAGGGUUUAUCCUUUUUUCUAAGUUGUAAUAUCCAUACCACUGCAGAGUACAUAAUCAUACUUCCAAUCCCUUCACCCAAUUAUUUUUUGUAUACUUGCAGUGUCAGAAUAGCUAAGGAUAAUGUCAAGUGUUUUGGACCUUUCUUUUUUAAAAAUGGUAAUGCUUAAGCCGGGCGUGGUGGCUCACGCCUGUAAUGCUUGCAGUGAGCCGAGAUCCCACCACUGCACUCCAGCUUGGGAGACAGCGAGACUCCGUCUCAAAAAAAAAAAAAAAAAAAAAAAGGCUUCUAGAGACAACUACCAUAUCCUCCUUAAACCUACAGUGUGCUUGAGGUCUUACCAGUUGGAAAUACAGUAACAAUUAUGUGUUUUAAAUAAUGUUUAAAGGGAGCACUGACAAAGUUUAUAGAAAGAUCAUGUUAACUUAAAACUUGGCUGUGGCUAAAGAUGGGAAAGCAAAACAUUUGUAAUUUAACCAAAUUUUUACUUCACAGUAACCUGAUCUUGAUAAAAGCGAUCUGGAAAUUGAAAAUGGGUGACACUAGAGUAACUGUUAACUAGAUUAUAUAAUGAUGUCUUCACAGCCAUAGAUAGAAGACUUUAAAAUGGUCCUCUGUCAUUAUGACAUAAUACUUAGAGCUGCAAGUUGCUACGGUUAGCAUGAGGAUGUACACAGAGCAGAAUAAACAAAUAAGUUUACGUAGAUUGGAAGUCCAUAUUUUAUUUCUCUAGUGACAUAUUUACAGUUCAAUAUAAAUUAAAGGCCUGCUUGUACACCAAAUCCAGGUCCCUUGGGUGGUUCAGUCAAAGAGGUAAGACCUCCAGCUGGCUCACAAGAGAAGCGUCCACUCCUGAAAUGAAAAGUAAUAUUAAACUAUUAAUGAUUAACAUUUGUAAAUUUUUACUUAAAUUGUAAUGGUUACCUCACAAGAGCCCAGUUAAGUAACUAUUUUUACCCUAAGAACUAGCAUAGAUUAUUUAAUUCAAACAUUUCAACUGAUGCAAGAUUUUCUCUUCCUAAAUUUAAAUAUGGAAAAACAUCAGACUUCACCAUAAACAUAAAAAAUACAAAAGUAGCCCUAAUAAUAGUUCCUAUUUACUGAGCAGUAUGCAUACACUAGCUCAUUGAAUCCUUACGAUGCCACAAGACAAGUGAUACUGGCUUUAUUUUACAGUUAGAGAAACCAAAUUUGGGAGAUUCAGCAUCUACCCAAGAAUCAAAGCAAAGAACUACGGCAAAAAUACCCAACCCCAGAGAACAUUUUUAAAAACCAUGUUUUAAUAAACUAGAGCACUGUAUUUCUUUUUAGAGUUGAAUUUUAUUUAGAUCAAGAUCCACAGUCACAGUGAAUAGAGGGAAUACACACACUUAUACAUUGUAUUUGGAAAUAGAAACUGGAUUCCUUGAGGAAAUAUGAUUUGGGACAAUGUCCCUUAGAAGCAGCGAAGUCAAAAUCAGUUUGUAUUUAUGUAUUAUAAAGACUAUAUUAGUAGUAGUAAUUUUCUGAAAAAAGUUUCCAAACCAGGAUGGCCAUAGCAGCCACAAAAGGAAGCAAACAAGAACAAGUCCUGAUGGAGCAAUUUAUGAAGACAGGCAGCAUAGAGGGAGAAGAACCUGUCUGUCAACCCCACACACGCUUUCCCAGGUAAUUGCUCACCUCUGCCCUGUCUGACCUCUGUUUCUAGAGCCCAGCUCAGACUUACUGUAUGUCACCCCUCCACCACUAUUCCCUGGCUUUGCUAAUUUACCUGUUCCUGCCACAGAUUUACCUAAAGAAAGAACUUGUUCAGUUUAUAUCUUUUCAACCCCCUCUGGCUUUGCCCUUCACAUUGUGUCAUCAAUCCUUUAAGUCUGUUCUUUAGAGCCCUAGGGAAUCAUUUUUUAUUGGAGCCAGGAAAGUGACACCACAUAAUAUAAGAUCUUUCAAGAUGUCACAGCAUAUAAUACAAGUUACUAAGUAAUGAACAAUUAUCUACAAAGUCAGAACUUAGUUAAUAUCUUUGGAUUAUAGGUCUUGUUCACUACAAAAACAGAUAAAAAAGCAGUCAUUGUAUACUGUAAGAGCCUGAAACUUGUAGAGUAAGCAGCAAAAUGAUACUUAACUUUAAAAAAAAGACAACAGUAUUAUAUUUUGCAAUUUUUAAAUUUAUUUAUUAUUUUUGAGACAGGGUCCCACUUUGUCACCCAGGCUGGGAUGCAGUGAUGCAAUAAUGGCUCACUGCAGUCUUAACCUCCCAGGCUCAGGUGCUUCUGUCACCUCAGCCUCCCACGUAGCUGGGACUACAGGUGUGCGUCACCAUGCCUGGCUAAUUUUUGUAUUUUUCGUAGAGACAAGACCUCACCAUGUUGCCCUGGCUGGUCUUGAAUUUGUGGGCUCAAACAAUCUGUCCGCCUCAACCUCCCAAAGUGCUGGGAUUACAGGUGAGCCACUGUGCCCGGCCUGUAAUUUUUUAUGUUGCCUAUUGAUAGGCACCACUGCUGCUCUUUAAAUGUCAAUGAAAUUAUUUUGGAGAAACUUUCUUCACCUUUACUAGGUUUCUUCUUACGGUUUAAGCUCAGCUACCUCUUCUUUUCUGCCUAAAACUUUUCUCUUGAUCAAAUAUCAGAAUGGAAUAUGAUUUAAAAGUUUCAUUUUAGACGUCUCCUGAAAGCUGAGCAUUUGUUAUCUUAAAGCCUCUUACCAGUUUGGAUAGAUAUGGAUCUUCCAAAAUUAAUGAGCUCCUUAAUAUCGACACUGUUUAUCAACAUAAAGGAUCAAUUUAGGAAGAUUAUAAAAACUGAAGUUUCCGGAACAAUAAAUGGGAGAAUUAAUCUUCUGAAUCAAGGACGUAUCCCUGAAUCUGGGGAGCUCUCUAUCAAAAUAUACAUGCUGGAACCCUACCAAAGGAAUAAUAAAUCUGGAAUGAGGCUCUGACUGUCUAAUUAGGAAAAGACUCCUUCCUGGAAUUCUGCACAUCUCCCUACACCUUAGUGACGGUUAAAUAAAUAAUUAUUAAGCUUCUGGAUAUUUUUUGUUGUAAGGUUAGGUGUUUCAUGGGUUGGGGGGAGGGGCAGUAACAUUAAAAUAAAAGUCCCAAAUGUAAAGUGCAAAGAAUCUUGAGUCUAUUCCCUAUACCCUACACUUCCUGCCUUUCCCCCACACAAAUCCAACCCUAAAUAUAAUAGGACAAUAUAUAAAUACAUAUUUUUUAAGAGAUAGGGUCUCACCAUCUUGCCCAGGCUGGUCUUAAG